AAAUAAAAAAAAGGAAAAAUGGGGGAAAAUGCUGGCUGUGCCACCACAGAGAAUACAUUAUUAAUUAAAGUGUCUCAAAAACAAAAACAAACGCUGGAACGAAACCCACAGACUAACCAGAGGUAAACAGCCGAAAGACGCUUCAGAGUCUGUAGUGACGCAGCUGAGGUCGCCCUCUUUCGGACAUUCAGACCUGCUCCAUGACACAAGGGCUGAAGAGCAGUGAGAGGAGAUGUGUCUCUGCACAGAUUUCAGGAGAGGAUUUGCCUUCAUAACGACUUCAUUAAAUAUUAAAUACACCUUAAAUGUAGUCAUACUUACUGACCCUUUUAUUAGGUGAAUGUGGUGCACAAUUACUGGGAAAGUAGACCGUAGACCCACCACCACCGAGCAGAAACAUUGACAGUUGUAUCAUAGUCUAGUGGUCCUGGUUAAAAUUCUGUUACAGUAGUGAUUCUAUGGUCUAUGGUGGCUCUUUUCACAGUAAAACCCAGUAUUUAUAUACCUAAAACGUACACCACGUUCACCUGACAAUGGGGUCAAUAAGUAUGACUACAUUCAUCAAAUACACCUUAAAUGUAGUCAUACUUACUGACCCUUUUAUUAGGUGAAUGUGGUGUACUUGGUAGGUAUACAAAUACUGGGUCUUACUGGGACCAAAUACUUGGUAGUAUUUGUAUACCUACCAAGCCACCAUAGACCCACCACUACUGUGUUGUUUUCAACCUGCCUAAGAUCUCACAUACCACUCCUCUGCUGUGAUACCUCCACUGGCAGAUUCAAAACACUGAUGCUUGCCUACAAAGCCAAAAAUGGACCAGCUACCUCCUCCCUCAAAGCCCUUAUCACUCCUCACACUGCACCUUGCACCCUCAGAGCUACCAGCACUGCUCGACUGGUUCCACCAUCUCUCAGGGUAAGAUGUAAGUAUACUACAAGACUCUUUUCUGUUCUGGCACCAAGGUGGUGGAAUGAACUUCCCCUAGUGGUCCAGACAGCUGAGUCACUGGCUGAGUUCAAACGACGGUUGAAGACCUACUUAUUCAUGAAAAACCUCAACUAGCACUUCCUUCCCUAUUUGUUGUAUGUAUGUAUAUAAAAAAAAAAUAAAAACUUUGA